CCGCUGCAGAACGCGCCUGCCCCGGAGCCGAUCGCCUCGGCGAGUACUUUCACUCAUCUUGAAAGAAAUGAGAGUGUGGAAAGCAUUAGAAAGCAGACAGUUUGAAGAGUACUGGGGACAGAUUUCAGCCCGCAAGUUCAAGAACACAAGGUACUGGAGUCCAGAGGAUCCUUUGGCUCUGGAAGCCUAAGGUUUGCCAUUUGAAGACUUUCACGUGGAACAGGAAUCAGUGCUUGAUAUAUUCCAGUAACUCCAGUGAGAAGCACAAUAUCAAAGGGUAAGAUGUAAAAGACAACAGACAGGAUCACUUUCAGAAUCAGCCAUGAACCGGUCAAAGGGAUACAGGAUUUUCAUUUUGCGUCAGUGAGAGCACAUCCCUGCAGUGAUCAGAAGAUUCAGUAAGAAUGGGCAUCAUCACAUUUUCCUGUAGGCUUACUGACAGCAAUGUGGUAAGAUUCAGCAUUCUAUUUCGUCAGUCAACAGAGUGGAAUAAAGAAAACAUGUAAGUUAUUUAAAAGCUAUUCUCAUCUGUGGUCAUAUCAGUUUCUGAGGCAUGAUUUUGCACAAGAUCAUGUAAAUGUUGGUGGCAAGCUUGUACGCCUUGACAUGGUAUCAAAAGCUGCUUGACAUAUUGGCAAGAACAUGACAGAGGCAAUCUAAAAAACCCCAAACAAACCCUGCUCUCCCAUAUCAGUGUAGGUUUUGAGAGUUCCCUUAGCAACCAGCACUGAACCUGCAUACCUAAUUGCUUCUUGCUAGUGAUGAGAAAAAUUGCGUACAUUUGUACUGUGGAUAUAUGAGAGAUAGGGGACGCGUCAGCCUUGCUCAGAUGCAAGUUUUCCUGGUGACAAGCAGCUAGAAAAGGAGGGGACUAUUUUUGCCAAUGGGAGCACAUACAUCUAUGUAAUGUACUCCAUUCGCAAAAUAAACAUUACUCUUGGUUAAUGUCUCAAUGUCUGUAACUGAUGGAAUCAGAAGGAAUGUUGUUGUUCCCCCUAUUCUUCCAUCUCAAAAUGAUGAUCCUUAAGCAGGAUGUAUGAGAGGGAAAAUAUGGCCAAAACAUUAUCUGCACUUGCUAGUGUCCCUUAACUUACCUGCUGCAGAGUUGUGCUGAUCCUCCUAUUAAUUAAUGUUUGCCUUCAAACCCACUGGAGUUACAGUGAAUCUCUCUGUGGCCUUCCAUGGAUGUGAGGCUCAGUCCUUCCCUGAGCUCAGGCAGGCAGUGAGACUACCUUAAAGUAGCUCCUGCAAGUAAAUCCCUUCCCAGGUUGCUCAGAUCUUUGGGAGCACUGCUGCAAACUACAACCCAAGCCCACAGUCUUCUCUAAUUUGUGUUGGGGACUAACCCAGCACUGCUGUGCUGGGCUGAUUUUUGCACUCAAAUUAUAAGCCUGAGACUCCAGCAACCGCUGCUGUGAAGUUUAACACAAAUAAAUGCCCUGUCGUUCUGCCAAAACACACUGUUCAUUGGGGUGCUGCAGAUGAUACGUAAUGAGUAUAAUUCCCAGCAUUUCAGAGGUAGUAUUGGCUGAGAUUAGCAAGACUAACUUAAUAAAGCACUAUCAUAAUUGCAUAUUCACUGGGAAAGGGAAAAAUAAUCAAAUGAAAAAGGACAAAACCAGCAGGGAAAGAAAAUUUAUUUCCAAGCAUCUACGAGAGUGCUACAAACAAUAGAGACUAAAACUCAAAGCAUUUAAAACUAUUAAAAAUGUAGUUGACAAUGUCCUUCUUAAAAAUCAAACAAAAAUGUAGAAAAUGCAGUUAUUAAUUCUAAAACUUGCUCAAUAGUGAAACAAAACCAGAUAGCAUCAAUGAGGAUGGAGUCCUACAAAUGACUUUUUUUUUUUUAACUUUAUUUCCAUUUGUUAAUUUGUAAAUUGAUACUCAUUUCAUUUUUUAAUGUUUAUUUAAAUUUAUAAUGGAGAAAUGUGCAAAUCUAGCAAAAUAUUCUUUGGAUUAUAAACAGAGAAAAAAUCAACAACCAAAGAAAUUUGAACUGAGUUAAUAAUAAACUAUAGAAUUAUAUAGAAUGCAUACAGCUAUAAUAAAGUGAAAUAUUACAAUAAACAUUGUAGAGCAAAUCUGCUGAUUUAGCAAACUUUGCCUUAUAAAACAUAGGGAUAUAAUGGGACAAUUGAAUAUGUUAUGAUUAUAGAGCUGAAACAUCAUUCAUAAUUUUAAUGAAUUAAAUUUUAAUCUAACUACACAUAUGGGGGGUCUUCAGAAAAGCAAUACACCAACAAAUCAGAUUUCCUCUCAGAUCAAGCAGUUUGGUACUUGACUGCAAAUGAAGGACAGGGUCUGUAAAAUGAACAGUAGAAAAAUGUAUAUCACUUCUAUUUAUUGCCUCUUCCCAUAUUGCAGCUGCUGAUCUCUGACCCUAAACAGCAAACUAUAUUAAAUUUAGCACAACUACAGCUGUACACAGAUGCUGAAAACGUUGAUGCACGGAACAUAUUCCAAUCCCUUGCUCAUUCUGAACUAAUAUAAAAAAAGUUAUAGAUCAUUUUUCAAUUAAAAACAUACAUUACAAAGAACAACUCUGAAAGCACUCUGUAUUUGUCAUCACAAAUUAAAAUGUCUUCCUAUCAGUGGACGAUGCUAUUCUACUGCAGUAAACAAAAACAAAAAAAUCAAAAUAAAAGUAAGUGCCAGAAUCUUAAUUAAUACUCAGGUAAGGUAAUUGUCAGGUAGAACAGUCUUUAGGGAAAUUAUAGCUAAAUUGGAUGAGAUUUAGGUCUCUAAAACCCGCAGAAGCUUAGCACAGAUAUGGAAAUCACAAGCCUGGAGUAAACUGUAAACACAGAGUGCUCCUGUCCACUUACAAAGUCAUUUCUGAAACCUCUGGAAUUCCUAAGAUAUAAGAUAAAUGCAUAUUACAUGGGACAUAUUUAAAAGUAUUACACUUAAUUUAAUCCAGAAAACACAGUCAUAUUAUAUGAAGGUUAUUACUGUGUUCUGGGAGCAGCCACAAGCUGUAGAUAGGGUACAAAAUGUUCACCAGACAUUACUUUUUUUUAAUCUAAAAAACAGUUGUAAAAUGUACUUGAUUUUUAAAUAAUCACUUAACAAGGCAACAAACCAACUACAAACACAUAAUAAAUAAGGCUAUUAAAAGGUCACAACUGUAGUAAAUUAGUCAGAACUAUAAAUGGGACAUUAGAAACACUAUGUUUUUCCUUAUAUGCUUAAUAACCAGAACAAGAAUUAAAAAAGAAUCAGUUUAUUUCAAAGUCUGCUUCUUAUAUUGAAGCACAUAUUAAAGCAACAGUACAAUGUUCAUAAAAUAUAAGUGUGAUGCUGUAACAUUUCUUACAUGUCAGAAUACUGAUAUUUGUAUGUAUACUAAAAUAAGAAUUUUAAAAUUGUACAAAUAGAUACAUUAAAAAUGACAUAGAAAUAGGGCGCCUCCCACUGCAACAAGACAGAGUUUUUAUAUCUGGCACGUAUUAGUUCAAGAUGAAAGUAUAAGCAAAAAGAUUUACAAGAAUCAGCAGUAACAAGUUUGAUGCUCAAGAGACAUAAUAAUUGUACAUUGUACUGUACAUACAUCAUAUGGGUUUAAGCUGGCUGAAUAUUAUAUAUUUCAAGUUUAAAAAUGCACUACCAUAUAGAGUGUCCAUAGUUUAAGGCGAAAUUACAGCUCAGAACUGUUAUCUUUUCUAAUUUGUGGAAGCUUCUUUGACAUAAAAGAUUUAGAUGUUCAUAACACAUAAAAGAUUUCCCUUAUUUGUAGGUUCACUUUUAGUAUUUUCCUUCAUUUAAAUAUUUUUUAUUUCUUAAGUGGUUUUUUUUCCUCUAGUGAAGUUGGCAGCCAACUUCUAUAUUUGCCUUUUGCAGGAAAAGGUACUUCACAGUAUUUACCACUUUUAUGUCCUUUUUUAUCAAAGGAAUCCUUUCUGUCAAACUUACAUGUUUAAAUGAGACUUUUCUUGAUUUUUAAAAAAAUACCUGCUUAAAUUUCUUCUGGAUUCUUCAGAACAUUGGACACAGUUCUUAAGGCCAAAUCUUAAACUUUAUUGUUAAGAAUCAUCAUCAAAAGUGUCUUUGGAGCCAUACAAGUCUGCAAGUUUCUUAAAUCGAGGUCCCCAGUUUUGUAGAUAGUCGUAGUCCAAAUCAGAAUCUGUUGUCGCUGACUCUAACGAGCUAAGUGAACCAGCCACUGAGCCUCUUCCUUCAUAGCCGUAGAUCUGAAUAGAGUCAUACGGAGGAGCAGUUGGAUCAUUAUCAGCUUCUUGUAUUCUUGUGUUGAUGAAAUCAUCAACAUCAACACUAUUGGGAGCCGGUCGAAGCCCUGGUCUUGGCAUAUACUGAUACUCAGGUUUUAUGUCUUUACGAGGAAUAAAUCCAUUGAUGCCAUCAGGGUUCUGCAAAGUAGCUAUGUCAAAAGCUUCAGUAUCUUCUUCUCCUCCACCUUCAUCAUCAUAAGUAAUAAUGUUCUCCCGGACAUCUUCUUCUUCAAAAACAAUCAGCGGUUCUUUUUUCUGCCUUUUCAGUGUUACAAACAACACUACAAUGACUA